UCCAGACACGAGAAACGUCUCCAAAGCGAGAACAGGUUGGCUUGACAAGAAACCGGCAAUACAGAACAAACUUCUAAGGCACCAUCGGAGCUGCAGCCAGUCACUCCUCGGCCUUUGCUGCACGGUUGAAGCUGUUCCGUUGGCUUCAUGGGCCAAUUCUGGAUCCUACCGAACGUCUCCUCAGCCAUUCAGAUAUCCACACACUCCACAGUCGUCCACUGAAGUUUUCCCUCAAACCUUCAUCGGACUGCCCGCUCUCCAACACACUCUGUUCAGUAGCAAACCAGAUCCCAUAGGCCAUCUGCUCUGUUUCCUGUAAAUCUGCAUGAAGAAUCCAUGAAUCCACAAACAUAAUUCCCCCCUAUCCACCACCAGGGUCAUUCCUUUCCCUUGACACCGGCUUCCUUCCCCCAGAACUGACUUCCUAAGCACCGCUCUGAGAGUCCCUCUGGGGAAUGAAACCGACUGCGGGGAGGAAGAGGAACCGUGGCCCAAUGAAGUCUGACGACAACAACAACAACAACAACACCAGGAAAGUUCACCUGCAGCACUCCAUUCUGCUGUGGCUUCAGCUGGAGCUGUUUCCAGUGGUUCAGAGAUGCUGCAAGUGUUCAUUUGGCAGGAAACACCCCUCUGUUAUUCUGUUUCAGUUCUACCUGAAACAAAACAUGCACUGCAUGUCUUUUGUAGAUGUCUAGAUAGUUUUGUGCAGUUGUUGCACUUUCUUCUGUGUGGGUCGCGUGCAGAAAUAUGUCUAUAAAAUGCAGUUUUUACUUUUUUUUAUUAUUUGACAUGCUCAUAUCGGAAAAGCAGGCAGUGACGUAAUAUUCUGAAAGGCCCACCGGGUCUGCACAAGUCAGCGUGCAGAGGUUCUCUCCUGUGAAUUAGUUCAGAAGCAGAGCACAAGUAUCACCCUGUGGACGUAAACGGGAUUACGCCCUGACUCAGGAUCCUGAAUCGCUGCAGAGCGCCAUCUUCAGUGACAGCUAAACUGUAACUGAUAAUUACUCAGAUUACCAGUUACUGUAAUCUGAGUAACUGAUAUGAUUUGUCUGUUUUGCAACAUAGUUGGAUUUCUCCACAUUGUAGGUCAACCAUCUCAGCGUCAGGAUUCUGUCUGUUCAACCUGGACUCGCUUCAGAAAUCAGACUUUUAUUACAAUUUUUGUUCUUUUAAUUUAUGAAACAAACCCGUCAUUAAUAUCUAAGAACUGUCUCACUUGUGGCAAGAGUGACUGGAACAACACUGAAGGUGGCCUUUUAGUAACGGCGAAGCAUCUCUGCUUCUUGCACUCAGAUUCCUGAGAUUUAUAUUUAUAAAAGAGUUUUUGUUAGUUAGACUAUAUCUGUUUCUAUGAAGAUUCAUUUUCCCAGAGACAGAAAUGCCCCUUUCCUUUGUAUUUUAGACCACAGGUUCACAAAUUUUUCCAAUCCAUGUCGCUACAAAGCAACGUUUGGUUCGAGACUCUCUUUACAGAAUAUGCGUGCCUUUACAAAAUAAUUUUUUCUUCACUUUUAUCUGAUAUUGAGUUUAUUAUUCAUUUUGUUUAGCAUAAGUGCUGCCUCAUAUCUUUUUAAUUUACUUAUCAAGUCGUAUAUUAUGACUUUUUGAACUUAAUAUUUACGUCAUUAUAUGUUACACAGUAAAAAAAAAAUAUUUUGUCACCACCAGCUCCUCUUUUGAUUAUAAGAAAAUGUGAAAUAUUUUAUAUUAAUCACAUGUCAAAUUUGAUUCCAUCCCCACAGUUCUUUGGGUGUUUUUGUUUUUUUUGUUUUUGCAGCAGGAGCAGUGUCCUUCACUGCAGGGCUGCACGGUUCCUUCUGUCUUUUCCUUCACAGAAACGUAUCCGUUUCAUGGGAUCAAUGUGAAUUUAUAAAUUCAACUGGCAGCCAAUCAGAAAGAUGAGCAUGGUAACCAAAAUUUCAUUAUGUAUUUGUAAGUAUAUUUUAUAAUAUUGAUUGAA